GCCGGGAUGGCGGAAUCGGUAGACGCACUGGAUUCAAAAUCCAGCGCCCUUAAAAGCGUGCGGGUUCGAGUCCCGCUCCCGGCACCA
rnacentral:tRNA from 13 species